rnacentral:rRNA from 1 species
GACGAACGCUGGCGGCGUGCUUAACACAUGCAAGUUGAACGGUAAGGCCCUUCGGGGUACACGAGUGGCGAACGGGUGAGUAACACGUGGGUGAUCUGCCCUGCACUUCGGGAUAAGCCUGGGAAACUGGGUCUAAUACCGGAUAGGACCACUGCCUGCAUGGGUGGUGGUGGAAAGCUUUUGCGGUGUGGGAUGGGCCCGCGGCCUAUCAGCUUGUUGGUGGGGGGAUGGCCUACCAAGGCGACGACGGGUAGCCGGCCUGGGAGGGGGACCGGCCACACUGGGACUGGGAUACUGCCCAGACUCCUACGGGAGGCAGCAGUGGGGAAUAUUGCACAAUGGGCGCAAGCCUGAUGCAGCGACGCCGCGUGAGGGAUGACGGCCUUCGGGUUGUAAACCUCUCUCAGCACCGACGAAGCGCAAGUGACGGUAGGUGCAGAAGAAGGACCGGCCAACUACGUGCCAGCCGCCGCGGUAA